CAGGGGCCCCGCCCACUUCCCCUCCACAGGCUGUGGGGAUCCCAGACCCAAGCAGGCAGAGUGAUUGAAGUUCCAGGCAGAGUGCGAUGCUCAGACACCAGAGUGUAGCGAAGGCAGGCGUGGGAGCCAGCGAGCCACGCCGCAGCCGCAGCAACAGAUGCGGGCUGCAUCCUAAGGUUGCCCCGGCUCUGCGACACCGCGUCUGGAGAAGGGGUUGUAGCCCGAGGGCAGCUCGCCGGGAGACGGCGAACUGAGGGUAAGCCUCGGGGACCGCCCCACACCCUUGACCUAGGUGGGGGGGUGGGGGUGGAUCCCA
rnacentral:lncRNA from 1 species